rnacentral:rRNA from 1 species
AACGAACGCUGGCGGCAGGCCUAACACAUGCAAGUCGAGCGAGGACUUCGGUUCUAGCGGCGGACGGGUGAGUAACGCGUGGGAAUGUGCCCUUCUCUACGGAAUAGCCCUGGGAAACUGGGAGUAAUACCGUAUACGCCCUAUUGGGGAAAGAUUUAUCGGAGAAGGAUCAGCCCGCGUUGGAUUAGGUAGUUGGUGGGGUAGUGGCCUACCAAGCCGACGAUCCAUAGCUGGUUUGAGAGGAUGAUCAGCCACACUGGGACUGAGACACGGCCCAGACUCCUACGGGAGGCAGCAGUGGGGAAUCUGAGACAAUGGGGGCAACCCUGAUCUAGCCAGGCCGCGGGAGUGAUGAAGGCCUUAGGGUUGUAAAGCUCUUUCAGCUGGGAAGAUAAUGACGGUACCAGCAGAAGAAGCCCCGGCUAACUCCGU